GUUCUCGCUCGCGUGCGCUCGGUUACCGGAACCACCGCGCCACCGCGCCGUGUCGUGGUGGGGAUUUUUCCGCCGCCACCAGGAAACCCACCGGCAGCCGCAAUCGGGGGGCAAUAUCUGGUUGGGGUGCUUCGUAGGGUUGCACCGAGUCUUGUUAAUGCAUCUACGGGCGCACUAGAUGGUUGGGACUGCUCACCGGAGCUCUGCGGGCAGCUCCGGGCCGCAUCGGUGCCAUGGUCAGGACUCCUCACUUCUCAAAUUACCGUUAAAUUUUCCCUUUCGCGCUCACCAGGGCCCCUGCUACGAUUAGUUCUCUUUAGAUCGGGGUUUGUUGCACUAAUGCGGUGUAUGGGCGUGCCCAGUAUGGCCGCCGCCGCGGUAAGCGCGCGUUCCGCCGCUUGCGCACUGGCGUGGGGUGGAAGACGGCGUAUGGGCUGUCCGAUCUUUGACGAGCGCGUAAGAUUAGUUCGUGUUGUAAGGAGCCUGGGCCAUCGGAUCGGAAUUGAAGGGAUACGAUUCGAUCGUGGGGAUACCGAUUCGGGGGCUUAAUUUCGACCAUUGAUUGUCUAUCCAAUGGUUUGGGUUAGAUAUGGGCGUGGAGUGUUGCGGUACAUGGAUCCCGGAUCAAACGGUUAUCAUCGCGUACCGGUUCAUGAAGAGAUAAUCUAAUUUACACCGCCAGUUUCUGAUCUGACGGUGCUCGUUGUCCGAUACCCUUUCGGCUAGCCAUCUUUACAUAAGAGCCCUCGGAGGAAAUGAAAUUCAGCCCACAGUCCAGGCGGCUAAUGCUCUGUGUCUUAGAGAUUCUCACACUAGGGCCCCUGCGGAUUUCUGGAUUCAUGCACCCAGUCCUGGGAGUUAGAAAAUUAGAUAAAUGGAUUUAAAAAUAGAUU